AUGAUUUUGUUUCUUAAAAUUAUUUGUAUUAGAAAAUUCUGUCAUUUCUCGCAAGUGUUAUUUAUAAGCUCUAUCAUGUUUCUGUUUAACUUAAUCUCCCUAUAUUGUUUAUCUUGAUGUAAUGAGAGGUCUACCAACAGGUCGCAGUAACGAGAGUGGUUCAUGGGCCCUGAAGCACCUGGGGAUUUUGUACACACGCUGGGAGAUGCGCAUGUGUACUCCAACCACUGCUCUGCUCUAGAGGAACAGCUGAAGCGAGAACCAAGACCAUUCCCAAAGCUAAAUAUCAGAAGAAAAUGUUGAAUCUAUCAAUGACUUUAAAUUUGAAGAUUUUGAGUUGGUGGGUUACAAUCCUCAUCCCAAGAUUCAAAUGGAAAUGGCUGUGUAAUAAGUAGCAUAUUGCAGUUGCAUUCUAGUUGCUUGUGGCCUAGCAGUUGAUUUUGCAUUAUGGCAUCAGGCAGAUUGUGCAGAGAAUUUACCUUUAAAUGGAACACUUAGACUAUUAGCAUUGCAUACAAUAUAAAGUCUCAACUGUAGCAUUUCAUUGGCUAGCUAGUAUUACCAUGGUGGCAACAAAACACUGCAAACACACUAAAAAAAACACUAUUGCUACAUUGUAUAAAACAACUAUCCCAUAAGCAGUUGGUUCCAACCAUUGCAGUAGUGAUUUGUCAAAUUACUUAGGAGCAUUAACCCUAUAAAUUGCUGCCUCAUACAUUACAAGUUUGUGUUUUUUCUGCAGUAUAGAAAAUGUAGUUUACAUGUAAUCAUAUAUUGUUAAGCACAAAAAAAAAAAACCACUAGCAUGCAUUACAUUUCAGGCACAUGUUGUAUGUAAUAUGUUGAAACACUGAUGAGGUGGUGAUGGCUGUCCUCAUAUUACUUGGUGAAUUAUCAUUGGAUUAUUUCAAUAUAUUCUGUACAUUUUAACUAAAUUCAAAGAGACACCACCAUAUCAUCAGGAAAACACUGGCCAGGGCGAACAAAUAAAUUCAUAUGGAUUAUUUCAUUUUUGUGUAGUACAGAAACCCAAACAUACGAACAUUUGUGUUGUGCACUUUUGAUAAUGAACAAUUUGCGGGAAGAGCAGAGAUGUAAACGAUACGUAGUAGGUUACUCUAGUGGUAUCGUUCGUAUGUGUGCUUGUGCACUCUUCACAAAUUCAGUGAUAUUUGUGAUUAUUAUAACCCCCAAUAUGUCUGCUGUUAAGCAAAAGCAGUGGUGAUGCAAGUACUAUUAGUACUAAGAAGUGCCAGGCCAUCACAGUGGAAACAAAAGUGGACAGAAUAAUGUACAGGUUUCCAUCCGACUUACAACUUAGCUUGGUUCUGACCAACCA